CAACCUCAACUCAUAUGGGACUACCCCCUGAAUUUAAGCAUAUUAAUUAGGGGAGGAAAAGAAACUAACAAGGAUUUUCUUAGUAGCGGCGAGCGAAAAGAAAACAGUUCAGCACUAAGUCACUUUGUCUAUAUGGCAAAUGUGAGAUGCAGUGUAUGGAGCGUCAAUAUUCUAGUAUGAGAAAUUAAUGAUUUAAGUCCUUCUUAAAUGAGGCCAUUUACCCAUAGAGGGUGCCAGGCCCGUAUAACGUUAAUGAUUGCUAGAUGAUGUUUUCCAAAAGAGUCGUGUUGCUUGAUAGUGCAGCACUAAGUGGGUGGUAAACUCCAUCUAAAACUAAAUAUAACCAUGAGACCGAUAGUAAACAAGUACCGUGAGGGAAAGUUGAAAAGAACUCUGAAUAGAGAGUUAAACAGUACGUGAAACUGCUUAGAGGUUAAGCCCGAUGAACCUGAAUAUCUGUUAUGGAAAAUUCAUCAUUAAAAUUGUAAUAUUUUAAAUAAUAUUAUCAAGAAUAAUGUGCAUCUUCUCCAUAUCGGACAUUGUAAUCUAUCAGCAUAUCCACAUUUAUCAUAAAAAUAUAACUUAUAGUUUAUUCCAGUUAAAU
rnacentral:ncRNA from 1 species